rnacentral:rRNA from 1 species
CGGGACGGGUGAGUAAUGUAUGGGGAUCUGCCUGAUGGCGGGGGAUAACUACUGGAAACGGUAGCUAAUACCGCAUAACGUCGCAAGACCAAAGAGGGGACCUUCGGGCCUCUUGCCAUCGGAUGUGCCCAGAUGGGAUUAGCUAGUAGGUGGGGUAACGGCUCACCUAGGCGACGAUCCCUAGCUGGUCUGAGAGGAUGACCAGCCACACUGGAACUGAGACACGGUCCAG